UCUCCGUAGGUGAACCUGCGGAGGGAUCAUUACUGAGUGAGGGUUUAACCGCCCGACCUCCAACCCCAUGUGAACCGAAACCUGUUGCUUCGGGGGCGACCCUGCCGUUCGGCGCGGCGCCCCCGGAGGCUCAUCAAACACUGCAUCUUUGCGUCGGAGUUUAAAACAAAUUAAACAAAACUUUCAACAACGGAUCUCUUGGUUCUGGCAUCGAUGAAGAACGCAGC
rnacentral:misc_RNA from 1 species